rfam:Oryctes borbonicus contig12326, whole genome shotgun sequence.
AGAGGAGGUUUAGUGGGUAGGCUCAUGCUUUACCGCAUGGGAAUCCCACACACAGCGGGGUACGGACCUUGCUUGUGUCUUUAGAAGAUUCCUCCUACU